AAACUGGAGAGUUUGAUCCUGGCUCAGAUUGAACGCUGGCGGCGUGCUUAACACAUGCAAGUCGAACGAGAAAGGGUCUUCGGACCUGAGUAGAGUGGCGCACGGGUGAGUAACGCGUAAGUAACCUGCCCCUGUAUUUGGGAUAACAGUGCGAAAGUGCUGCUAAUACCGAAUAAUCUCAAUGGCCGCGUGGUAAUUGAGGAAAGGUGACCUCUUCAUGAAAGUUACCGUAGAGGGAGGGGCUUGCGUACCAUUAGCUGGUUGGUGGGGUAAUGGCCUACCAAGGCGACGAUGGUUAGCGGGUUUGAGAGGAUGAUCCGCCACACUGGAACUGAAACACGGACCAGACUCCUACGGGAGGCAGCAGUGAGGAAUAUUGCGCAAUGGGGGCAACCCUGACGCAGCGACGCCGCGUGAGUGAAGAAGGCCUUAGGGUUGUAAAGCUCUGUCAGAAGGGAAGAAGUGUGUAGCGGUUAAUACCCGUUACAUUUGACGGUACCUUCAAAGGAAGCACCGGCUAACUCCGUGCCAGCAGCCGCGGUAAUACGGAGGGUGCGAGCGUUAAUCGGAAUUACUGGGCGUAAAGGGCGCGUAGGCGGCCGAUCAAGUCAGGUGUGAAAGCCCACGGCUCAACCGUGGAGGUGCAUUUGAAACUGGUUGGCUUGAGUAUCGGAAGGGGAGAUGGAAUUCCCGGUGUAGAGGUGAAAUUCGUAGAUAUCGGGAGGAAUACCGGUGGCGAAGGCGAUCUUCUGGACGAAUACUGACGCUGAGGCGCGAAAGCGUGGGUAGCAAACAGGAUUAGAUACCCUGGUAGUCCACAGCUGUAAACGAUGUGCACUAGAUGUAGGGGGGGAAUUGACCCCCUCUGUGUCGCAGCUAACGCAUUAAGUGCCACGCCUGGGGAGUACGGCC
rfam:Delta proteobacterium MLMS-1 ctg712, whole genome shotgun sequence.